AUUGAACGCUGGCGGCAGGCCUAACACAUGCAAGUCGGGCGAGUGGCGGACGGGUGAGUAAUGUCUGGGGAUCUGCCUGAUGGAGGGGGAUAACUACUGGACACGGUCGCUAAUACCGCAUACCAUCAGAUGAACCCAUAUGGGAUUAGCUUGUGGGGGGGGGAACGGCUCACCUAGGCGAAGAUCCCUAGCUGGUCUGAGAGGAUGAUCAGCCAAACUGGGACUGAGACACGGCCCAGACUCCUACGGGAGGCAGCAGUGGGGAAUAUUGCACAAUGGGCGCAAGCCUGAUGCAGCCAUGCCGCGUGUAUGAAGAAGGCCGUAGGGUUGUAAAGUACUUUCAGUCGGGAGGCGUUACCGACAGAAGAAGCACCGGCUAACUCCGUGCCAGCAGCCGCGGUAAUAC
rnacentral:rRNA from 1 species